UACAGAGGGGGCAAGCGUUGUUCGGAAUUACUGGGCGUAAAGGGCGCGUAGGCGGCCUUCUAAGUCGAACGUGAAAUCCCCGGGCUCAACCCGGGAACUGCGUCCGAUACUGGAAGGCUUGAAUCCGGGAGAGGGAUGUGGAAUUCCAGGUGUAGCGGUGAAAUGCGUAGAUAUCGGGAGGAACACCAGUGGCGAAGGCGGCGAUCUGGGUCGAUACUGACGCUGAGGUGCGAAAGCGUGGGGAGCAAACAGG
rnacentral:rRNA from 1 species